CUCAUGGAGAGUUCAAUCCUGGAUCAGGAUGAAUGUUGACGACUUGCUUUACACAUGCAAGUCAGACGGGAAGUGGUGUUUCUAGUGGCGGACGAGUGAGUAACGCGUAAGAACCAGCCCUUGAGAGGGGAACAACAGACUCUUAUGGGAGGCAGUAGUGGGAAAUUUUCCGGAAUGGGCGAAAGCCUGAUGGAGCAAUGCCACGUGAAGGUAGAAGGCCUACGGGUCAUGAACUUCUUUUCUCGGAGAAGAAGCAAUGACAGUAUCCGAGGAAUAAGCAUCGGCUAACUCUGUGCCAGCAGCUGUAGUAAGAUAGAGGACACAAGCGUUAUCCAGAAUGGUUGGGCGUAAAGCGUCUGUAGGUGGCUUUUUAAGUUCGCCGUCAAAUCCCAGGGCUCAACCUUGGACAAGUGGUGAAAACUACCAAGCUGGAGUACGGUACGGGCAGAAAGAAUUUCCGGUGGAGUGGUGAAAUGCAUAGAAAUCGAAAAGGACACCAACAACGAAAGCACUUUGUUAGGCCGACACUAACACUAAAAGACGAAAGCUAGAAGAGCGAAUAUGAUUAAAUACUCCAAUAAUCCUAGCUGUAAACAAUGAAUACUAAACGUUGUACAUAUCGAUUCGUGCAAUGCUAUAAAUAACACGUUACCUUAUAACUGUAACAUUUGCCAAUUUUAUUU
rnacentral:rRNA from 1 species